GCUCGUUCUUCUCGUCAGUUCGUCGCUCGAUCUGUGCCAGCCUGCUGCGUCUUCAUCCAGGGAUGUACAGCUAAAAGAGAGCUGACUAGGCCCGCCUGGGAAAGCAGGUAAGCACAUUCGUGUCUGGUGUGUCAGAUCUGCUAAAUUGAACUCUUGCACUUCAAGAUAGAUUUUCAUGUAUUAUUACUUUUGACUGACAGCGAGUUCAUAAAUUGUUGCUCUGUAGUGAUAAUACUCUUAGAUUAUUUCAGCCUUAUUGAUUUGAAUGCUGAAAUAUCUUUCUGACCCUAUACAAAAAAUAUUGUUUUGUGUAAAUAAUGCAUCGCAUAUUUUUUACUGUUGGCAAAUGAAUUAUUUAUGUAUAGUUACUACCAAAUUAUCAGAAUAAUAAAUCUAUCACUCGCUCCAAUUAUUUGUAAUUCUGGGUUAGGCUUUUCUUAUCUAAACUACUUGAUGUGACAAAAUAUCUUAAACAAGCUCUGUGAUUUGUAUGCUCUCUUAUAUUAUCAAAGAUGAUUGCACUUAUAUGAUAUGUUUGAUAGUUCCUAUAUACUCUGAAAGAAAAAAUAGCUGAUGUUCCGCUCCCUCCAGGCUUGCACUCGCGUCGCGCCCUUUCCUCUCCCUGCCGCCUCGCCUCUCUCCCUGCCUGCUCGUUGCCCCGGUCGUCUCUGAUGGUGCUCCUAGAUGUGCUAUACAUCACCUCCUCACCUCCUUGGCCACUUCGGUGCCCAUGGCUUUCGUGCUCGUCGGCGGGAUGGUGCAAGGCGCAACUCCGACGUGGUUCCUCACUGGUUGGAUGGCGUUCAGGCGCAACCCCGGUGCCCUCUGAGUACUGCCUCGGCUACAACCUCCCUCUGUGAGCUCCAUCUUCCCCAUGCUCUGCUUCGGCUACUAUAUGGGACAUGGCCAGGGCUAUGAUGAUCAGUUAUGGCUGAUAUAGGCAUGCUCUCAAGCAGUCGAGGAACUUGUGGGUAUUAAUUUGGAUCCUCCCUCAUUUCUUUGAGCUGUUUUGAUUGCGUUCUUAUUUUAGUGGCUCUGUCCUUGGAUGGUCAUUUCUAAUGAGUGAUAACGAGGGUAGUUAAACCCUCGUAAGAACAUAUUGAUCCGGUAAUCCAUCCAGAAAUCCAGAAAUAAGUCUAGAAAUAAGAGAAGGAUGUCUCACCGAGCUCUCACAGCGAUUAGGAACUCUCGGCCGUCGGAUCGGUUUGCUUGAUGCGAUUCUGGGAGAUGGAUCUCGCUCCGGAUUAAUCUCGGCCGUUGGAUCGAGCCUGAACUCCUGCAGUAAUGAAUAGUUACUCCCAAAAUGAGAUAUCUCGUGCCACCGCAUUUGAAUCACGUGCCCCAUCGGUCGGAAUCCAUUCUUGCUAGGGCGAUGAUGAUUAGCCGUGGGUAUCAAGUUGGGUCCGCCCUCUUGUCUCUAGAAUCCUUUUUGAUCCUGUGAUACUUAUUGUUCUAUCCUUUGGAUGGUCAUUCUUAUUGAGUGAUAACCAGGGCAGCUCCACUGUAUAAACAGAUUGAUCUGGUGAUAAGAGAUGAUGGGGGUAGAUUAUAUGAUCGAGGAAAGGCAAAUCUGAGCCCAUACGCAUUGAACCCUGAACCCUUUUUAUUCGCACGUGCCCCACCGGUCGGAAGCCAUCCUUUCUAGGGCGAUGAUGAUUCGCUGUGGCUGAAAUAAGUGUGCCUUUGAGCAAUCAAGGCACCUGUGGGUAUCAAGUUGGGUCCUCCCUCUUGUCUCUAGAAUCCUUUUUGAUCAUGUGAUACUUAUUGUUCUGUCCUUGGAUGGUCAUUCUUGCUGAGUGAUAAGCAGGGCAGCUCCACUGUAUAAACAGAUUAAUCUGGUGACAAGAGAUGGCGGGGGUAGAUUAUAUGAUCGAGGAAAGGCAAAUCUGAGCCCACUAUGCAUUGAACCCUGAACCCUUUUUAUUUGUAUUUAAAGGUGUUGCUUAUUUAUGCUCCACUGUUUAUAGCCGUCUUAUGUGAAUAUUUCUUCUCUCUCAUACCUUUAUUGCAUAUAAGUUGUUCUUGACUUUUAUUGUUUGUUGUUGGUCCUUGAUUUCAUCUGGUUAAGAGUAAGCAAGUUGUCGGUUCAAUGGCUUGUUUUAAUUUGUUGAUAAACCAGCAGAAACCACGGUGUCAUGUUUCUAAUAACAACGUCUUUAGGCUGGUUAAUGUUUGUAUUGGAGCCCACUACCUUUUAUUUCGCUUGUUUCUUACCAUCUUCCUUGCUUCUCUGGCUGUUUCACGGUUGGGACGGUGGCGUGGCAUUGGGGCUAUCUUGUGGGUUGGACGGAGAGGGAGCACACCGAGUGGGCUUCUAAGAUGGCUGAGGGAUUUGUCUAGGGUUUCCUGGUUAAUCCAUUCUGAUUUUGGUCUGCUCAUGCUCUUGGCUUCCGGACCGUAGUGCUCAAGGUGGUCUGGCUGUCGCUGUCGCCCCUGCUCGACGAUGCUGCACCCCUGCUCGAUCACUUUAUAAAAAUAGCGUAUGCAGAAGUGAAAACGAGUCAAACAGAUGAUCAGUGCCUCAGUCCUUCAGUACUUGAGCGGCCGCCGAGGGAGCCGAGCCGACGGAUGUGGAGGAAUAUGAUGUUGCGUGGAGUGGCGUGGGGUAACAACCAUCUCCAUCGAGUGGCGGUGCUCGCGUGAAGGAUGAGUUCGUGGUAGUAGCACUCUCUCGGCUGUGGCUGCACGUUCAACUGGCCAGUCAAGGAGCUCCAGCACAAGCAGGUCCGCCUACUCUCCUUUCCCCUGAGCUCCUGCAACUACACAAAUCAUCUUCCUGGACACCCAGCGAGUGUUUAGGAUCCCACACACGACAGUUCUUGGCAUGCUCCUGGCACACCUUGGACUAUCACCGGCUCAGUAUGAACGCGUUGUUCAUGAGGACGGCAAGACCCAUGUUGUAAAUUGUCUGUAAGCGACGUGUUGCCGUAUCUUCUAUGCCUAAAACGUCUGUAAGCGACGUGUUGUCGUAUCUUCUAUGCCUAAACGCGUCUACGUUAUGCCUAAAACUUAAAGUUAUCUAUGCAUAGUUGUAAAUUGUCUUUAAGCGACGUGUUGUCGUAUCUUCUAUGCCUAAGAUAUUUGGUGCUAACCUAUCGUGAAA